rnacentral:rRNA from 1 species
CGCGUAGGCGGUUUGUUAAGUCGGAUGUGAAAGCCCCGGGCUCAACCUGGGAAUUGCAUUCGAUACUGAUCGACUAGAGUACGAGAGAGGGAGGUAGAAUUCCACGUGUAGCGGUGAAAUGCGUAGAUAUGUGGAGGAAUACCGGUGGCGAAGGCGACCUCCUGGCUCGAUACUGACGCUGAGGUGCGAAAGCGUAGGGAGCAAACAGGAUUAGAUACCCUGGUAGUCC